GACAGAGGUGCCAAGCGUUAGGCGGAAUCACUGGGCUUAAAGCGUGUGUAGGCGGGUCGUUAAGUACCUUGUGAAAUCCCACGGCUUAACCGUGGAACUGCUGGGUAUACUGGCGAUCUUGAGCCACUUAGGGGUCAGCGGAACAAAUGGUGGAGCGGUGAAAUGCGUAGAUAUCAUUUGGAACGCCAAUGGUGAAAACAGCUGACUGGGAGUGUGCUGACGCUGAGACACGAAAGCCAGGGGAGCGAACGGG
rnacentral:rRNA from 1 species